rnacentral:rRNA from 1 species
GAUGAACGCUGGCGGCGUGCCUAAUACAUGCAAGUCGAGCGAACAGAUGAGGAGCUUGCUCCUCUGACGUUAGCGGCGGACGGGUGAGUAACACGUGGAUAACCUACCUAUAAGACUGGGAUAACUUCGGGAAACCGGAGCUAAUACCGGAUAAUAUAUUGAACCGCAUGGUUCAAUAGUGAAAGACGGUUUUGCUGUCACUUAUAGAUGGAUCCGCGCCGCAUUAGCUAGUUGGUAAGGUAACGGCUUACCAAGGCGACGAUGCGUAGCCGACCUGAGAGGGUGAUCGGCCACACUGGAACUGAGACACGGUCCAGACUCCUGCGGGAGGCAGCAGUAGGGAAUCUUCCGCAAUGGGCGAAAGCCUGACGGAGCAACGCCGCGUGAGAGAUGAAGGUCUUCGGAUCGUAAAACUCUGUUAUUAGGGAAGAACAAAUGUGUAAGUAACUAUGCACGUCUUGACGGUACCUAAUCAGAAAGCCACGGCUAACUACGUG